rnacentral:lncRNA from 1 species
UCCUGAGGUCCCCUGGGGACAAAUCUUCCCCAGACUCCAGAGUCUGUCCCAUCUGAUGGCAGAGUGCGUGCUGCCAUGCCCAGCUGAGUGUUCUGUUUCCAUGCACAGCCCAGGUAGAGCUGCACACUGUUCAAAUCUGCUUUGCCUUCAUUAAUCUUUUCCAGCAGCAGACAAACUACCAAGCAGCAGAAAACUGCCACAUCAAAGUUCUCUUCCAGUUUCUCUGGACACCAUCACUCAAAAUGGGUCCAGAAAGAUGGAACCAGAAGCAGCAGCCUCCAGCUCUGUCUUUUCCUGCAGUUCAUGGGGACAGGAGGCAACACAAGACAGAAACCACCACAUGACAAGACUGCAACUUCAUCUGAGGACUUUGUGGAGCAGAUGUCACCUUAAACCCAGAGACGGUGCACGAAGGAACAGAGAGGGCACUAGAUUUAAAGCAAGCAAGUACUCUGCCCUCACUUUGCUGGGAAAUUGUGCAUGCAUGUUCACUGUGCUUUGUAAUCAGUGUGGCUUUCAUUGUGCUAUUAAUUAAAAAGAGAAGCCUUAUGCAAAAGAAAUUUAAAAUUGCAAAUUUCCUUUUGCAUAUUCUGCAAAAGCAAUUUCCAUUUUGCUAUGUUACCCCACGUCAUGUUAAUGUUAGGUUUUUAUAAAUGAAUAGUGAGACUUUGUAAGGGUAUUCCAAUUGCAUUCAUCACUGAUACUUUUUUAAUUGCAUGACUUCCCAAGGAAUCGAGGCUUUUGUAAUUAUAAACUCUAAUCUUAAACACCGUUCUGCCAUCUCUCAGUAAAUCUUCGAUCAUUUCACUUAACUCCAAAUAAAUUUGACAGAAUCAGAGCUAACCA